rnacentral:rRNA from 1 species
UGAGGAAUUUUGCGCAAUGGGGGCAACCCUGACGCAGCAACGCCGCGUGAGUGAUGAAGGCUUUUGGGUCGUAAAGCUCUGUCAAGUGGAAAGAAAUUGCAUUUAGUUAAUACCUGGAUGCAUUGACGGUACCACUGAAGGAAGCACCGGCUAACUCCGUGCCAGCAGCCGCGGUAAUACGGGGGGUGCAAGCGUUAUUCGGAAUUAUUGGGCGUAAAGGGCGCGUAGGCGGCUUUGCAAGUCAGAUGUGAAAUCCCGGGGCUUAACCCCGGAAGUGCAUUUGAAACUGCAGGGCUUGAGUAUGGGAGAGGGAAGUGGAAUUCCUGGUGUAGAGGUGAAAUUCGUAGAUAUCAGGAGGAACACCGGUGGCGAAGGCGACUUCCUGGACCAAUACUGACGCUGAGGCGCGAAGGCGUGGGGAGCAAACAGGAUUAGAUACCCUGGUAGUCCACGCAGUAAACGUUGAACACUAGGUGUAGCGGGUAUUGACCCCUGCUGUGCCGGAGCUAACGCAUUAAGU